UUCCGGUUGAUCCUGCCGGACCCGACUGCUAUCGGAGUAAGACUAAGCCAUGCGAGUCGACGUAGCAAUGCGUGGCGAACGGCUCAGUAACACGUAGUCAACAUGCCCAAGGGACGUGGAUAACCUCGGGAGACUGAGAAUAAACCACGAUAGGUCAUGAUUUCUGGAAUGGAUCAUGGCUCAAAUCUACAUGGCCCCUGGAUUGGACUGCGGCCGAUCAGGCAGUUGGUGAGGUAAAGGCCCACCAAACCUAUAACCGGUACGGGCUCUGAGAGGAGAAGCCCGGAGAUGGGCACUGAGACAAGGGCCCAGGCCCUAUGGGGCGCAGCAGGCGCGAAGCCUCUGCAAUAGGCGAAAGCCUGACAGGGUUACUCUGAGUGAUUUCCGCUAAGGGGAUCUUUUGGCACCUCUAAAAAUGGUGCAGAAUAAGGGGUGGGCAAGUCUGGUGUCAGCCGCCGCGGUAAUACCAGCACCCCGAGUGGUCGGGACGAUUAUUGGGCCUAAAGCAUCCGUAGCCGGUUCUGCAAGUCUUCCGUUAAAUCCAGCCGCUCAACGGAUGGGCCGCGGAGGAUACUACAGGACUAGGAGGCGGGAGAGGCAAGCGGUACUCAGUGGGUAGGGGUAAAAUCCUUUGAUCCAUUGAAGACCACCAGUGGCGAAGGCGGCUUGCCAGAACGCGCUCGACGGUGAGGGAUGAAAGCUGGGGGAGCAAACCGGAUUAGAUACCAGGGUAGUCCCAG
rnacentral:rRNA from 1 species